GCCGCGCCCAAAAAUAAGCGCCCAAAGGUCGUGUUGCCAAAACCCCCCAGCGGAAAAAUGGCCAAAAAACGGGUGGGCUAUAGCCUUGGUGGGGGGCGCGGGCGAAGUUCGUCCGCCGGACUCGGAAUGGGGCGAGACUUUGCGAGGGGCCUUGGGGUGCCCGCGGGAAGUCGCGGGCACAGCCGCGUCCAAAAAUAAGCGCCCGAAGGUCGUGGUGCCAAAACCCCCCAGCGGAAAAAUGGCCAAAAAACGGGUGGGCUAUAGCCUUGGUGGGGGGCGCGGGCGAAGUUCGUCCGCCGGACUCGGAGUGGGGCGAGACUUUGCGAGGGGCCUCGGGGUGCCCGCGGGAAGUCGCGGGCACAGCCGCGUCCAAAAAUAAGCACCCGAAGGUCGUGGUGCCAAAACCCCCCAGCGGAAAAAUGGCCAAAAAACGGGUGGGCUAUAGCCUUGGUGGGGGGCGCGGGCGAAGUUCGUCCGCCGGACUUGGAAUGGGGCGAGACUUUGCGAGGGGCCUCGGGGUGCCCGCGGGAAGUCGCGGGCACAGCCGCGCCCAAAAAUAAGCACCCGAAGGUCGUGGUGCCAAAACCCCCCAGCGGAAAAAUGGCCAAAAAACGGGUGGGCUAUAGCCUUGGUGGGGGGCGCGGGCGAAGUUCGUCCGCCGGACUCGGAGUGGGGCGAGACUUUGCGAGGGGCCUCGGGGUGCCCGCGGGAAGUCGCGGGCACAGCCGCGUCCAAAAAUAAGCGCCCGAAGGUCGUGGUGCCAAAACCCCCAGCGGAAAAAUGGCCAAAAAACGGUUGGCUAUAGCCUUGGUGGGGGGCGCGGGCGAAGUUCGUCCGCCAGACUCGGAAUGGGGCGAGACUUUGCGAGGGUCCUUGGGGUGCCAAAAAUAAGCCGCGGGCAAAGCCGCGCCCAAAAAUAAGUGCCCGAAGGUCGUGGUGCCAAAACCCCCCAGCGGAAAAAUGGCCAAAAAACGGGUGGGCUAUAGCCUUGGUGGGGGGCGCGGGCGAAGUUUGUCCGCCGGACUCGAAAUGGGGCGAGACUUUGCGAGGGGCCUCGGGGCACCAAAAAUAAGGCGCGGGCAAAGCCGCGCCCAAAAAUAAGCGCCCGAAGGUCGUGGUGCCAAAACCCCCCAGCAGAAAAAUGGCCAAAAAACGGGUGGGCUAUAGCCUUGGUGGGGGGCGCGGGCGUAGUUCGUCCGCCGGACUCGGAAUGGGGCGAGACUUUGCGCGGAGCCUCGGGUCGCCAAAAAUAAGCCGCGGGCAAAGCUGCGCCCAAAAAUAAGCGCCCGAAGGUCGUGGUGCCAAAACCCCCCAGCGCAAAAAUGUCCAAAAAACGGGUGGGCUAUAGCCUUGGUGGGGGGCGCGGGCGAAGUUCGUCCGCCGGACUCGGAAUGGGGCGAGACUUUGCGAGGGGACUCGGGGUGCCCGCGGGAAGUUGCGGGCACAGCCGCGUCCAAAAAUAAGCGCCCGAAGGUCGUGGUGCCAAAACCCCCCAGCGGAAAAAUGGCCAAAAAACGGGUGGGCUAUAGCCUUGGUGGGGGGCGCGGGCGAAGUUCGUCCGCCGGACUCGGAAUGGGGCGAGACUUUGCGAGGGGCCUCGGGGUGCCCCCAGGAAGUCGCGGGCACAGCCGCGUCCAAAAAUAAGCGCCCGAAGGUCGUGGUGCCAAAACCCGCCAGCGGAAAAAUGGCCAAAAAACGGGUGGGCUAUAGCCUUGGUGGGGGGCGCGGGCGAAGUUCGUCCGCCGGACUCGGAAUGGGGCGAGACUUUGCGAGGGGCCUCGGGGUGCCCGCGGGAAGUCGCGGGCACAGCCGCGUCCAAAAAUAAGCGCCCGAAGGUCGUGGUGCCAAAACCCCCAGCGGAAAAAUGGCCAAAAAACGGUUGGCUAUAGCCUUGGUGGGGGGCGCGGGCGAAGUUCGUCCGCCAGACUCGGAAUGGGGCGAGACUUUGCGAGGGGCGUUGGGGUGCCAAAAAUAAGCCGCGGGCAAAGCCGCGCCCAAAAAUAAGUGCCCGAAGGUCGUGGUGCCAAAACCCCCCAGCGGAAAAAUGGCCAAAAAACGGGUGGGCUAUAGCCUUGGUGGGGGGCGCGGGCGAAGUUUGUCCGCUGGACUCGAAAUGGGGCGAGACUUUGCGAGGGGCCUCGGGGCACCAAAAAUAAGGCGCGGGCAAAGCCGCGCCCAAAAAUAAGCGCCCGAAGGUCGUGGUGCCAAAACCCCCCAGCAGAAAAAUGGCCAAAAAACGGGUGGGCUAUAGCCUUGGUGGGGGGCGCGGGCGUAGUUCGUCCGCCGGACUCGGAAUGGGGCGAGACUUUGCGAGGAGCCUCGGGUCGCCAAAAAUAAGCCGCGGGCAAAGCUGCGCCCAAAAAUAAGCGCCCGAAGGUCGUGGUGCCAAAACCCCCCAGCGCAAAAAUGUCCAAAAAACGGGUGGGCUAUAGCCUUGGUGGGGGGCGCGGGCGAAGUUCGUCCGCCGGACUCGGAAUGGGGCGAGACUUUGCGCGGAGCCUCGGGGCGCCAAAAAUAAGCCGCGGGCAAAGCCGCGCCCAAAAAUAAGCGUCCGAAGGUCGUGGUGCCAAAACCCCCCAGCGGAAAAAUGGCCAAAAAACGGGUGGGCUAUAGCCUUGGUGGGGGGCGCGGGCGAAGUUCGUCCGCCGGACUCGGAAUGGGGCGAGACUUUGCGAGGGGCCUCGGGGUGCCCCCAGGAAGUCGCGGGCACAGGCGCGUCCAAAAAUAAGCGCCCGAAGGUCGUGGUGCCAAAACCCCCCAGCGGAAAAAUGGCCAAAAAACGGGUGGGCUAUAGCCUUGGUGGGGGGCGCGGGCGAAGUUCGUCCGCUGGACUCGGAAUGGGGCGAGACUUUGCGAGGGGCCUCGGGGUGCCAAAACUAAGCCGCGGGCAAAGCCGCGCCCAAAAAUAAGCGCCCGAUGGUCCUGGUGCCAAAACCCCCCAGCGGAAAAAUGGCCAAAAAACGGGUGGGCUAUAGCCUUGGUGGGGGGCGCGGGUGAAGUUCGUCUGCUGGACUCGGAAUGGGACGAGACUUUGCGAGGGGCCUCGGGGUGCCCGCGGGAAGUCGCGGGCACAGCCACAUCCAGAAAUAAGCGCCCGAAGGUCGUGGUGCCAAAACCCCCCAGCGGAAAAAUGGCCAAAAAACGGGUGGGCUAUAGCCUUGGUGGGGGGCGCGGGCGAAGUUCGUCCGCCGGACUCGGAAUGGGGCGAGACUUUGCGAGGGGCCUCGGGGUGCCAAAAAUAAGCCGCGACCAAAGCCGCGCCCAAAAAUAAGCGCCCGAAGGUCGUGGUGCGAAAACCCCCCAGCGGAAAAAUGGCCAAAAAACGGGUGGGCUAUAGCCUUGGUGGGGGGCGCGGGCGAAGUUCGUCCGCCGGACUCGGAAUGGGGCGAGACUUUGCGAGGGGACUCGGGGUGCACGCGGGAAGUUGCGGGCACAGCCGCGUCCAAAAAUAAGCGCCCGAAGGUCGUGGUGCCAAAACCCCCCAGCGGAAAAAUGGCCAAAAAACCGGUGGGCUAUAGCCUUGGUGGGGGGCGCGGGCGAAGUUCGUCCGCCGGACUUGGAAUGGGGCGAGACUUUGCGAGGGGCCUCGGGGUGCCCCCAGGAAGUCGCGGGCACAGCCGCGUCCAAAAAUAAGCGCCCGAAGGUCGUGGUGCCAAAACCCCCCAGCGGAAAAAUGGCCAAAAAACGGGUGAGCGAUAGCCUUGGUGGGGGGCGCGGGCGAAGUUCGUCCGCUGGACUCGGAAUGGGGCGAGACUUUGCGAGGGGCCUCGGGGUGCCAAAAAUAAGCCGCGGGCAAAGCCGCGCCCAAAAAUAAGCGCCCGAAGGUCGUGGUGCCAAAACCCCCCAGCGGAAAAAUGGCCAAAAAACGGGUGGGCUAUCAGCCUUGGUGGGGGGCGCGGGCGAAGUUCGUCCGCCGGACUUGGAAUGGGGCGAGACUUUGCGAGGGGACUCGGGGUGCCCGCGGGAAGUUGCGGGCACAGCCGCGUCCAAAAAUAAGCGCCCGAAGGUCGUGCUGCCAAAACCCCCGAGCGGAAAAAUGGCCAAAAAACGGGUGGGCUAUAGCCUUGGUGGGGGGCGCGGGCGAAGUUCGUCCGCCGGACUCGGAAUGGGGCGAGACUUUGCGAGGGGCCUCGGGGUGCCCGCGGGAAGUCGCGGGCACAGCCGCAUCCAAAAAUAAGCGCCCGAAGGUCGUGGUGCCAAAACCCCCCAGCGGAAAAAUGGCCAAAAAACAGGUGGGCUAUAGCCUUGGUGGGGGGCGCGGGCGAAGUUCGUCCGCCGGACUCGGAAUGGGGCGAGACUUUGCGAGGUGCCUCGGGGUGCCAAAAAUAACCCGCGGGCAAAGCCGCGCCCGAAGGUCGUGGUGCCAAAACCCCCCAGCGGAAAAAUGGCCAAAAAACGGGUGGGCUAUAGCCUUGGUGAAGGUCGCGGGCGAAGUUCGUCCGCCGGACUCGGAAUGGGGCGAGACUUAGCGCGGGGCCUCGGGGCGCCAAAAAUAAGCCGCGGGCAAAGCCGCGCCCAAAAAUAAGCGCCCAAAGGUCGUGGUGCCAAAACCCCCCAGCGGAAAAAUGGCCAAAAAACGGGUGGGCUAUAUAGCCUUGGUGGGGGGCGCGGGCGAAGUUCGUCCGCCGGACUCGGAAUGGGGCGAGACUCUGCGAGGGGCCUCGGGGUGCCCGUGGGAAGUCGCGGGCGCAGCCGCGUCCAAAAAUAAGCGCCCGAAGGUCGUGGUGCCAAAACCCCCCAGCGGAAAAAUGGCCAAAAAACGGGUGGGCUAUAGCCUUGGUGGGGGGCGCGGGCGAAGUUCGUCCGCCGGACUCGGAAUGGGGCGAGCCUAUGCGAGGGGCCUCGGGGUACCAAAAAUAAUCCGUGGGCAAAGCCGCGCCCAAAAAUUAGCACCCGAAGGUCGUGGUGCCAAAACCCCCCAGCGGAAAAAUGGCCAAAAUACGGGUGGGCUAUAGCCUUGGUGGGGGGCGCGGGCGAAGUUCGUCCGCCGGACUCGGAAUGGGGCGAGACUUUGCCAGGGGCCUCGGGGUGCCCGCGGGAAGUCGCGGGCACAGCCGCGCCAAAAAAUAAGCGCCCGAAGGUCGUGGUGCCAAAACCCACCAGCGGAAAAAUGGCCAAAAAACGGGUGGGCUAUAGCCUUGGUGGGGAGCGCGGGCGAAGUUCGUCCGCCGGACUCGGAAUGGGGCGAGAAUUUGCGAGGGGCCUCGGGGUGCCAAAAAUAAGCCGCGGGUAAAGCCGCGCCCAAAAAUAAGCGCCCGAAGGUCGUGGUGCCAAAACCCCCCAGCGGAAAAAUGGCCAAAAAACGGGUGGGCUAUAGCCUUGGUGGGGGCGCGGGCGAAGUUCGUCCGCCGGACUCGGCAUGGGGCGAGACUUUGCACAGGGCCUCGGGGCGCCAUAAAUAAGCCGCGGGCAAAGCCGCGCCCAAAAAUAAGCGCCCGAAGGUCGUGGUGCCAAAACCCCCCAGCGGAAAAAUGGCCAAAAAACGGGUGGGCUAUAGCCUUGGUGGGGGGCGCGGGCGAAGUUCGUCCGCCGGACUCGGAAUGGGCCGAGACUUAUCGAGGUGCCUCGGGGUGCCAAAAAUAAGCCGCGGGCAAAGCCGCGCCCAAAAAUAAGCGCCCGAAGGUCGUGGUGCCAAAACCCCCCAGCGGAAAAAUGGCCAAAAAACGGGUGGGCUAUAGCCUUGGUGGGGGUCGCGGGCGAAGUUCGUCCGCCGGACUCGGAAUGGGGCGAGACUUAGCGCGGGGCCUCGGGGCGCCAAAAAUAAGCCGCGGGCAAAGCCGCGCCCAAAAAAAAGGGCCCGAAGGUCGUGGUGCCAAAACCCCCCAGCGGAAAAAUGGCCAAAAAACGGGUGGGCUAUAUAGCCUUGGUGGGGGGCGCGGGCGAAGUUCGUCCGCCGGACUCGGAAUGGGGCGAGACUUUGCGAGGGGCCUCGGGGUGCCCGCGGGAAGUCGCGGGCACAGCCGCGUCCAAAAAUAAGCGCCCGAAGGUCGUGGUGCCAAAACCCCCCAGCGGAAAAAUGGCCAAAAAACGGGUGGGCUAUAGCCUUGGUGGGGGGCGCGGGCGAAGUUCGUCCGCCGGACUCGGAAUGGGGCGAGCCAUUGCGAGGGGCCUCGGGGUACCAAAAAUAAGCGCCCGAAGGUCGUGCUGCCAAAACCCCCCAGCGGAAAAAUGGCCAAAAAACGGGUGGGCUAUAGCCUUGGUGGGGGGCGCGGGCGAAGUACGUCCGCCGGACUCGGAAUGGGGCGAGACUUUGCCAGGGGCCUCGGGGUGCCCGCGGGAAGUCGCGGGCAUAGCCGCGCCAAAAAAUAAGCGCCCGAAGGUCGUGGUGCCAAAACCCCCCAGCGGAAAAAUGGCCAAAAAACGGGUGGGCUAUAGCCUUGGUGGGGGGCGCGGGCGAAGUUCGUCCGCCGGACUCGGAAUGGGGCGAGAAUUUGCGAGGGGCCUCGGGGUGCCAAAAAUAAGCCGCGGGUAAAGCCGCGCCCUAAAAUAAGCGCCCGAAGGUCGUGGUCCAAAAACCCCCCAGCGGAAAAAUGGCCAAAAAACGGGUGGGCUAUAGCCUUGGUGGGGGGCAAGGGCGAAGUUCGUCUGCCGGACUUGGAAUGGGGCGAGACUUUGCGAGGGGACUCGGGGUGCCAAAAAUAAGCCGCGGGCAAUGCCGCGCCCAAAAAUAAGCGCCCGAAGGUCGUGGUGCCAAAAACCCCCAGCGGAAAAAUGGCCAAAAAACGGGUGGGCUAUAGCCUUGGUGGGGGGCAAGGGCGAAGUUCGUCUGCCGGACUUGGAAUGGGGCGAGACUUUGCGAGGGGCCUCGGGGUGCCAAAAAUAAGCCGCGGGCAAAGCCGCGCCCAAAAAUAAGCGCCCAAAGGUCGUGGUGCCAAAACCCCCCAGCGGAAAAAUGGCCAAAAAAUGGGUGGGCUAUAGCCUUGGUGGGGGGCGCGGGCGAAGUUCGUCCGCCGGACUCGGAAUGGGACGAGACAUUACGAGGGGCCUCGGGGCACCAAAAAUAAGCCGUGGGCAAUGCCGCGCCCAAAAAUAAGCGCCCGAAGGUCGUGGUGCCAAAACCCCCCAGCGGAAAAAUGGCCAAAAAACGGGUGGGCUAUAGCCUUGGUGGGGGGCGCGGGCGAAGUUCGUCCGCCGGACUCGGCAUGGGGCGAGACUUUGCACAGGGCCUCGGGGCGCCAAAAAUAAGCCGCGGGCAAAGCCGCGCCCAAAAAAAAGGGCCCGAAGGUCGUGGUGCCAAAACCCCCCAGCGGAAAAAUGGCCAAAAAACGGGUGGGCUAUAGCCUUGGUGGGGGGCGCGGGCGAAGUUCGUCCGCCGGACUCGGAAUGGGGCGAGAUUUUGCGAGGGGCCUCGGGGUGCCCGCGGGAAGUUGCGGGCACAGCCGCGUCCAAAAAUAAGCACCCGAAGGUCGUGGUGCAAAAACCCCCCAGCGGAAAAAUGGCCAAAAAACGGGUGGGCUAUAGCCUUGGUGGGGGGCGCGGGCGAAGUUCGUCCGCCGGACUCGGAAUGGGGCGAGACUUUGCGAGGGGCCUCGGGGUGCCCGUGGGAAGUCGCGGGCACAGCCGCAUCCAAAAAUAAGCGCCCGAAGGUCGUGGUGCCAAAACCCCCCAGCGGAAAAAUGGCCAAAAAACGGGUGGGCUAUAGCCUUGGUGGGGGGCGCGGGCGAAGUUCGUCCGCCGGACUCGGAAUGGGGCGAGACUUUGCGAGGGGCCUCGGGGUGCCAAAAAUAAGCCGCGGGCAAAGCCGCGCCCAAAAAUAAGCGCCCGAAGGUCGUGGUGCCAAAACCCCCCAGCGGAAAAAUGGCCAAAAAACGGGUGGGCUAUAGCCUUGGUGGGGGGCAAGGGCGAAGUUCGUCUGCCGGACUUGGAAUGGGGCGAGACUUUGCGAGGGGACUCGGGGUGCCAAAAAUAAGCCCGCGGGCAAAGCCGCGCCCAAAAAUAAGCGCCCAAAGGUCGUGGUGCCAAAACCCCCCCAGCGGAAAAAUGGCCAAAAAAACGGGUGGGCUAUAGCCUUGGUGGGGGGCAAGGGCGAAGUUCGUCUGCCGGACUUGGAAUGGGGCGAGACUUUGCGAGGGGCCUCGGGGUGCCAAAAAUAAGCCGCGGGCAAAGCCGCGCCCAAAAAUAAGCGCCCGAAGGUCGUGGUGCCAAAACCCCCCAGCGGAAAAAUGGCCAAAAAACGGGUGGGCUAUAGCCUUGGUGGGGGUCGCGGGCGAAGUUCGUCCGCCGGACUCGGAAUGGGGCGAGACUUAGCGCGGGGCCUCGGGGCGCCAAAAAUAAGCCGCGGGCAAAGCCGCGCCCAAAAAAAAGGGCCCGAAGGUCGUGGUGCCAAAACCCCCCAGCGGAAAAAUGGCCAAAAAACGGGUGGGCUAUAUAGCCUUGGUGGGGGGCGCGGGCGAAGUUCGUCCGCCGGACUCGGAAUGGGGCGAGACUUUGCGAGGGGCCUCGGGGUGCCCGCGGGAAGUCGCGGGCACAGCCGCGUCCAAAAAUAAGCGCCCGAAGGUCGUGGUGCCAAAACCCCCCAGCGGAAAAAUGGCCAAAAAACGGGUGGGCUAUAGCCUUGGUGGGGGGCGCGGGCGAAGUUCGUCCGCCGGACUCGGAAUGGGGCGAGCCAUUGCGAGGGGCCUCGGGGUACCAAAAAUAAGCCGCGGGCAAAGCCGCGCCCAAAAAUAAGCGCCCGAAGGUCGUGCUGCCAAAACCCCCCAGCGGAAAAAUGGCCAAAAAACGGGUGGGCUAUAGCCUUGGUGGGGGGCGCGGGCGAAGUACGUCCGCCGGACUCGGAAUGGGGCGAGACUUUGCCAGGGGCCUCGGGGUGCCCGCGGGAAGUCGCGGGCAUAGCCGCGCCANNNNNNNNNNNNNNNNNNNNNNNNNNNNNNNNNNNNNNNNNNNNNNNNNNNNNNNNNNNNNNNNNNNNNNNNNNNNNNNNNNNNNNNNNNNNNNNNNNNNNNNNNNNNNNNNNNNNNNNNNNNNNNNNNNNNNNNNNNNNNNNNNNNNNNNNNNNNNNNNNNNNNNNNNNNNNNNNNNNNNNNNNNNNNNNNNNNNNNNNNNNNNNNNNNNNNNNNNNNNNNNNNNNNNNNNNNNNNNNNNNNNNNNNNNNNNNNNNNNNNNNNNNNNNNNNNNNNNNNNNNNNNNNNNNNNNNNNNNNNNNNNNNNNNNNNNNNNNNNNNNNNNGGGGUGCCAAAAAUAAGCCGCGGGGCAAAGCCGCGCCCAAAAAUAAGCGCCCGAAAGGUCGUGGUGCCAAAACCCCCCAGCGGAAAAAUGGCCAAAAAACGGGUGGGCUAUAGCCUUGGUGGGGGGCAAGGGCGAAGUUCGUCUGCCGGACUUGGAAUGGGGCGAGACUAUGCGAGGGGCCUCGGGGUGCCAAAAAUAAGCCGCGGGCAAAGCCGCGCCCAAAAAUAAGCGCCCAAAGGUCGUGGUGCCAAAACCCCCCAGCGGAAAAAUGGCCAAAAAAUGGGUGGGCUAUAGCCUUGGUGGGGGGCGCGGGCGAAGUUCGUCCGCCGGACUCGGAAUGGGACGAGACAUUACGAGGGGCCUCGGGGCACCAAAAAUAAGCCGUGGGCAAUGCCGCGCCCAAAAAUAAGCGCCCGAAGGUCGUGGUGCCAAAACCCCCCAGCGGAAAAAUGGCCAAAAAACGGGUGGGCUAUAGCCUUGGUGGGGGGCGCGGGCGAAGUUCGUCCGCCGGACUCGGAAUGGGGCGAGACUUUGCGCGGGGCCUCGGGGUGCCAAAAAUAAGCCGCGGGCAAAGCCACGCCCAAAAAUAAGCGCCCGACGGUCGUGGUGCCAAAACCCCCCAGCGGAAAACUGGCCAAAAAACGGGUGGGCUAUAGCCUUGGUGGGGGGCGCGGGCGAAGUUCGUCCGCCGGACUCGGAAUGGGGCGAGACUUUGUGAGGGGCCUCGGGGCACCAAAAAUAAGCCGCGGGCAAAGCCGCGCCCAAAAAUAAGCGCCCGAAGGUCGUGGUGCCAAAACCCCCCAGCGAAAAAAUGGCCAAAAAACGGGUGGGCUAUAGCCUUGGUGAGGGACGCGGGUGAAGUUCGUCCGCCGGACUCGGCUUNNNNNNNNNNNNNNNNNNNNNNNNNNNNNNNNNNNNNNNNNNNNNNNNNNNNNNNNNNNNNNNNNNNNNNNNNNNNNNNNNNNNNNNNNNNNNNNNNNNNNNNNNNNNNNNNNNNNNNNNNNNNNNNNNNNNNNNNNNNNNNNNNNNNNNNNNNNNNNNNNNNNNNNNNNNNNNNNNNNNNNNNGGGGCGAGACUUUGCGAGGGGCCUCGGGGUGCCCACGGGAAGUCGCGGGCACAGCCGCGUCCAAAAAUAAGCGCCCGAAG
rnacentral:lncRNA from 1 species